GGCAAAGAACGAGGUGCCACCCCGAGCUCUGAGCAUUUCAUUGAACCUUCAUAGCAACGGUCCUAGGAGGUGGCAGCUAUUAUUAUCUGCAUUUUACAGAGCCUAGUUAAAGGUAACUCAGCCCAAGAACUGCUCCAGCCCCGAUGCACAAGGCCUGCCACUGAAGGGCCCGUCAUGGUGUGGAACGAUGAACGAAAUGCGUAUUUGUUACUGGAAGCGCAUUCUGACCUCCUCUCAGCUCCUGAGACCUUGUGUGUUCAGUCAGAAGAAUUCAGCUACGUACCACGUGGACCUUCUUUUUUAACAUAGUAAAGUGUGAAGGGGAGAGAAGAGAUGUCUCUGAAUAAAGAAGCAAACAUCAAGGAGGCAAGCUGAACAAUCUUCUAAAGAGGUGGAGACUGGUAGCCCCGGGGCUGAAUCGCUCUGAGCUGGAUAGGAAGGAGUGCGCCUACUCACUGGAACUCAGCUUCAUUCUGAAGGAAAGCACAAUCUCUCCCCUACACAGGUAUCCAGUAGUCCUGGUGUGGCCCUGAUUGGCAGGAGAGGUGUAUGUGGGUGGG
ensembl:lincRNA Gm43202 predicted gene 43202